AUCGAUCAUGGUAUUCCCACCGAAAAAAAUACGGUGAUUGAUUAAGAUAUAGUCCAAAAAUAAAACUCAGUUGUAAAAUUAAUGAAAGACUUAUAUAACGGGGCAUAUGAUAUUGAUAAUGUUCUAAAAAAGUUGAAGCUUGGAAGAAGAUAAGGGGACAAAGGAAGAAUGAAAACAAGAAGGAGGGAAGGAAAGGCCUAGCCGAGUAAUUAUGCGUGGAUUGAGGAGUUGGUGGGACACGAAAACAAUAGCAUUUGGUGCACACAGUAUGUGCCUUCCAUGCUUUGUCUACCUUGAGAGUGAGGGUCCUCGAGCAAGGGUUUCUUAUUCAAUCUUCCUUUGGGGAAGUGCAUACUCAAAGUCAGUGUCGGGUAUAUGUAAUGAAGGAGGGGGCAAGGUGGAAUCUACAUGUAACUGAAUUGGUUGCAUUAAGCACAGACAAGAAAAAAAAGUCUUGAAUAGGUUGCCAAGAUGUUGCAUGUAUUAGGUGGAAGUCUCAACAGACGAAAAUAAAAUCCAAAUCAGUUUUUUUUUGUGUGUGUAUUUCUGACAAUUUUAUUAUUUUCAGAUAUUGCAUUUCUUGCAAACAGUUCGAUAAACUGUGUAAAAGCAAUUAGGAGAACCAUCAUAAGCAGGUACACGCAAAGAAAGAGUGGAAUAAACAAUCUGACAUUGAGAAAUUUAUGGCAAACAGGUUUCCGUGUAGCAUUUGUGUCCAGAUCUGAGAUCUGUGCCUUUCUCUGCUCAAGAUUUAUUUUUUAUUUGGUUAUUAGAUUACCCAACAAAGGGUGGAAGAGGGUGCACCUACAAUCAUUCAUGGAUUUUAAUUUUAUAAAGGAAAAGUGUUAAAAAUUAAAA